GCCGAUGUAGCUCAGUUGGUAGUAGCAACGGUUUCGUAAACCGUAGGGCGGGGGUUCGAACCCCUUCAUCGGCU
rnacentral:tRNA from 1 species